rnacentral:rRNA from 1 species
UUAAGUGACUAAGCGUACACGGUGGAUGCCUAGGCAGUCAGAGGCGAUGAAGGACGUACUAACUUGCGAUAAGCGCAGAUAAGGCAGUAAGAGCCGUUUGAGUCUGCGAUUUCCGAAUGGGGAAACCCAACUGCAUAAGCAGUUACUGUUAACUGAAUACAUAGGUUAACAGAGCAAACCGGGGGAACUGAAACAUCUAAGUACCCCGAGGAGAAGAAAUCAACCGAGAUUCCGGUAGUAGCGGCGAGCGAACCUGGAUUAGCCCUUAAGCACUCGUUGAAGUAGGUGAACAAGCUGGAAAGCUUGGCGAUACAGGGUGAUAGCCCCGUAACCGACGCUUCAUCGAGCGUGAAAUCGAGUAGGGCGGGACACGUGAUAUCCUGUCUGAAUAUGGGGGGACCAUCCUCCAAGGCUAAAUACUCCUGACUGACCGAUAGUGAACCAGUACCGUGAGGGAAAGGCGAAAAGAACCCCUGUGAGGGGAGUGAAAUAGAACCUGAAACCGUGUACGUACAAGCAGUAGGAGCACCUUCGUGGUGUGACUGCGUACCUUUUGUAUAAUGGGUCAGCGACUUAUAUUCAGUGGCAAGGUUAACCGUAUAGGGGAGCCGUAGCGAAAGCGAGUCUUAACUGGGCGCUCAGUCUCUGGAUAUAGACCCGAAACCGGGUGAUCUAGCCAUGGGCAGGUUGAAGGUUGAGUAACAUCAACUGGAGGACCGAACCGACUAAUGUUGAAAAAUUAGCGGAUGACUUGUGGCUAGGGGUGAAAGGCCAAUCAAACUCGGAGAUAGCUGGUUCUCCCCGAAAGCUAUUUAGGUAGCGCCUCGGACGAAUACUACUGGGGGUAGAGCACUGUUAAGGCUAGGGGGUCAUCCCGACUUACCAACCCUUUGCAAACUCCGAAUACCAGUAAGUACUAUCCGGGAGACACACGGCGGGUGCUAACGUCCGUCGUGGAGAGGGAAACAACCCAGACCGCCAGCUAAGGUCCCAAAGUAUUGCUAAGUGGGAAACGAUGUGGGAAGGCUCAGACAGCUAGGAUGUUGGCUUAGAAGCAGCCAUCAUUUAAAGAAAGCGUAAUAGCUCACUAGUCGAGUCGGCCUGCGCGGAAGAUGUAACGGGGCUAAGCAAUACACCGAAGCUGCGGCAAUAUCUUUUAGAUAUUGGGUAGGGGAGCGUUCUGUAAGCCGUUGAAGGUGGUCUGUAAGGGCUGCUGGAGGUAUCAGAAGUGCGAAUGCUGACAUGAGUAACGACAAAGGGGGUGAAAAACCUCCUCGCCGGAAGACCAAGGGUUCCUGUCCAACGUUAAUCGGGGCAGGGUGAGUCGACCCCUAAGGUGAGGCCGAAAGGCGUAAUCGAUGGGAAACGGGUUAAUAUUCCCGUACUUCUGACUAUUGCGAUGGGGGGACGGAGAAGGCUAGGUGGGCCAGGCGACGGUUGUCCUGGUUCAAGUGCGUAGGCUUGAGAGUUAGGUAAAUCCGGCUCUCUUUAAGGCUGAGACACGACGUCGAGCUGCUACGGCAGUGAAGUCAUUGAUGCCAUGCUUCCAGGAAAAGCCUCUAAGCUUCAGAUAGUCAGGAAUCGUACCCCAAACCGACACAGGUGGUCGGGUAGAGAAUACCAAGGCGCUUGAGAGAACUCGGGUGAAGGAACUAGGCAAAAUGGUACCGUAACUUCGGGAGAAGGUACGCUCUUGAUGGUGAAGUCCCUCGCGGAUGGAGCUGACGAGAGUCGCAGAUACCAGGUGGCUGCAACUGUUUAUUAAAAACACAGCACUGUGCAAAAUCGCAAGAUGACGUAUACGGUGUGACGCCUGCCCGGUGCCGGAAGGUUAAUUGAUGGGGUUAGCGCAAGCGAAGUUCUUGAUCGAAGCCCCGGUAAACGGCGGCCGUAACUAUAACGGUCCUAAGGUAGCGAAAUUCCUUGUCGGGUAAGUUCCGACCUGCACGAAUGGCGUAAUGAUGGCCACGCUGUCUCCACCCGAGACUCAGUGAAAUUGAAAUCGCUGUGAAGAUGCAGUGUACCCGCGGCUAGACGGAAAGACCCCGUGAACCUUUACUACAGCUUGGCACUGAACAUUGAACCUACAUGUGUAGGAUAGGUGGGAGGCUAUGAAGACGUGACGCUAGUUGCGUUGGAGCCGUCCUUGAAAUACCACCCUUGUAUGUUUGAUGUUCUAACUUAGCCCCAUUAUCUGGGGUGAGGACAGUGCCUGGUGGGUAGUUUGACUGGGGCGGUCUCCUCCCAAAGAGUAACGGAGGAGCACGAAGGUGGGCUAAUCACGGUUGGACAUCGUGAGGUUAGUGCAAUGGCAUAAGCCCGCUUAACUGCGAGAAUGACGGUUCGAGCAGGUGCGAAAGCAGGUCAUAGUGAUCCGGUGGUUCUGUAUGGAAGGGCCAUCGCUCAACGGAUAAAAGGUACUCCGGGGAUAACAGGCUGAUACCGCCCAAGAGUUCAUAUCGACGGCGGUGUUUGGCACCUCGAUGUCGGCUCAUCACAUCCUGGGGCUGAAGUCGGUCCCAAGGGUAUGGCUGUUCGCCAUUUAAAGUGGUACGCGAGCUGGGUUUAGAACGUCGUGAGACAGUUCGGUCCCUAUCUGCCGUGGGCGUUGGAAGAUUGAAGGGGGGCUGCUCCUAGUACGAGAGGACCGGAGUGGACGAACCUCUGGUGUUCGGGUUGUGUCGCCAGACGCAUUGCCCGGUAGCUAAGUUCGGAAUUGAUAAGCGCUGAAAGCAUCUAAGCGCGAAGCGAGCCCUGAGAUGAGUCUUCCCUGAUACUUUAAGUAUCCUAAAGGGUUGUUCGAGACUAGAACGUUGAUAGGCAGGGUGUGUAAGCGUUGUGAGGCGUUGAGCUAACCUGUACUAAUUGCCCGUGAGGCUUAACCAU